CAACUUUCAAGGCUUGAUCAACCCCCAUUGCUGCAGAACAGCUUUAAGUUGUUAACCCAUUUCUUGUUCCCUGAAAAAGGACUUUUUUGGGUACCUGGAAAAAUUGGAGCAUUCUAAAACUUUUGACUGCUAGCGUAGCUCUCUGAAGAAGGCCCUUAGAUGUGCUUGAAAGCCUUGAAAACCAACUGUACAGGAAAUCAGUCAUGCACCAUCCACUGCUGUCGCCAUGGCAACACAGAGGGGGAAAUCCAUUCUCCGUCACCGUCACCACCCCCCACCCCUUUCUCCCUCAUCCUUUCUUUUGUCUUGUUGAACGAGGUG